UACGAAGGGAGCUAGCGUUGUUCGGAAUUACUGGGCGUAAAGGGCGCGUAGGCGGCCUUGUAAGUCAGAUGUGAAAGCCCCGGGCUUAACCUGGGAACUGCAUUUGAUACUGCAAGGCUAGAGAUCGAGAGAGGAAAGUGGAAUUACGAGUGUAGAAGUGAAAUUCGUAGAUAUUCGUAGGAACACCAGUGGCGAAGGCGACUUUCUGGCUCGAUACUGACGCUAAAGCGCGAAAGCGUGGGGAGCAAACAGGAUUAGAUACCCUGGUAGUCCACGCUGUAAACGAUGAGUGCUAGAUGUUAGGAAGGUAACUUCUUAGUGUCGCAGUUAACGCAUUAAGCACUCCGCCUGGGGAGUACGGUCGCAAGAUUAAA
rnacentral:rRNA from 1 species